UAGGGAAUCUUCGGCAAUGGGGGCAACCCUGACCGAGCAACGCCGCGUGAGUGAAGAAGGUUUUCGGAUCGUAAAGCUCUGUUGUAAGAGAAGAACGUGUGUGAGAGUGGAAAGUUCACACAGUGACGGUAACUUACCAGAAAGGGACGGCUAACUACGUGCCAGCAGCCGCGGUAAUACGUAGGUCCCGAGCGUUGUCCGGAUAUAUUGGGCGUAAAGCGAGCGCAGGCGGUUUAAUAAGUCUGAAGUUAAAGGCAGUGGCUUAACAAUUGUUCGCUGUGGAAACUGUUAAGCUGGAGUGGAGAAGGGGAGGGUGGAAGUCCAUGUGUAGCGGUGAAAUGAGUAGAUAUAUGGAGGAGCACCGGUGGCGAAGGCGGCUGUCUGGUCUGUAACUGACGCUGAGGCUGGAAAGCGUGGGGAGCAGACAGG
rnacentral:rRNA from 1 species